UACGUAGGGUGCAAGCGUUUAAUCGGAAUUACUGGGCGUAAAGCGUGCGCAGGCGGUGAUGUAAGACAGAUGUGAAAUCCCAGGGCUCAACCUUGGAACUGCAUUUGUGACUGCAUGGCUAGAGUUUGGCAGAGGGGGGGUAGAAUUCCACGUGUAGCAGUGAAAUGCGUAGAUAUGUGGAGGAACACCGAUGGCGAAGGCAGCCCCCCUGGGUCAAGACUGACGCUCAUGCACGAAAGCGUGGGGAGCAAACAGG
rnacentral:rRNA from 1 species